rnacentral:rRNA from 1 species
UUCAGCAGCCAUAUCACUCUGCAACUCACAAUUGGCAACCCACUGAAGCGAGCAGGUGUGAGCCUGGUCAGUACCUGGAUGGGAGACCUUCUGGAACUAAGAAGGUUGCUGCUGGAA